rnacentral:rRNA from 1 species
GUUUCAUAAACAACCAGGAUGUUGGCUCAGAAGCAGCCACCAUUUAAAGAGUGCGUAAUAGCUCACUGGUCGAGAGACCCUGCGCCGAAGAUUCCCGGGGCUAAAGUACGAAACCGAAGCUGUGGCUGUAUACGUAAAGUAUACGGGGUAGGGGAGCGUUCCCAUAGGGUAGAAGUCGAACUGGAAGGUUCGGUGGACUUGUGGGAAGUGAGAAUGUUGGUAUGAGUAGCGAAAAGAAAGGUGAGAAUCCUUUCCACCGAAAGCAUAAGGAUUCCUGAGCAACGAUCGUCGUCUCAGGGUAAGUCGGGACCUAAUCCGAGGCAGAGAGCGUAGGAGAUGGACAACUGGUUGAUAUUCCAGUACCGGUAGUAAUUGUUUGAGCAAUGGAGUGACACAGAAGGGCAGGCAAGCAUGCGAAUGGAAGAGCAUGUGUAAGCGUGUAGGGUGGUGCAUAGGCAAAUCCGUGCACUGAAAGCCUGAGGCGUGAUGCGGAGUGAGCAGAGAUGCGAGCGAAGUUGUUGACCCCACACUGUCGAGAAAAGCUUCUAGUGAGAGAGCUACCGCCCGUACCGUAAACCGACACAGGUAUGCGGGGAGAGAAUCCUAAGGUGCGCGGGAGAACCCUCGUUAAGGAACUCGGCAAAAUGUACCCGUAACUUCGGGAUAAGGGUAGCCACUGUUGUGAAGUCCCAUGCGGAUGGAGCAUAGAGUGGUCGCAGAGAAGAGGCCCAAGCGACUGUUUACCAUAAACACAGGUGCCUGCUAAAGCGAAAGCUGACGUAUAGGUGCUGACACCUGCCCAGUGCCGGAAGGUUAAGGAAGGAUGUUCGGAGUAAUCCAAAGCAUUCGACUGAAGCCCCGGUGAACGGCGGCCGUAACUAUAACGGUCCUAAGGUAGCGAAAUUCCUUGUCGGGUAAGUUCCGACCCGCACGAAAGGUGUAACGAUUUGGGCACUGUCUCAACGAGGGACCCGGUGAAAUUGAAAUACCUGUGAAGAUGCAGGUUACCCGCGACUGGACAGAAAGACCCCAUGGAGCUUUACUGCAGCUUGAGAUUGAAUCCCGGUGGCAGACGCACAGGAUAGGUGGGAGGCUUUGAGAUAGUGACUUUGGUUGCUAUGGAGCCGACGUUGGGAUACCACCCUUCUGUUGCUGGGAUUCUAACGCGAAGAUUAACAACCUUGCGGACCAUCUCAGGUAGGCGGUUUGACUGGGGCGGUCGCCUCCGAAAGAGUAACGGAGGCGCCCAAAGGUUCCCUCAGGCCGGACAGAAACCGGCCGAAGAGUGCAAAGGCAGAAGGGAGCUUGACUGCGAGAC